GACGAACGCUGGCGGCGUGCUUAACACAUGCAAGUCGAACGGAAAGGCCUCUUUCGGGGGGUACUCGAGUGGCGAACGGGUGAGUAACACGUGAGUAACCUGCCCUUGACUUUGGGAUAACUUCAGGAAACUGGGGCUAAUACCGGAUAGGAGCUCCUGCUGCAUGGUGGGGGUUGGAAAGUUUCGGCGGUUGGGGAUGGACUCGCGGCUUAUCAGCUUGUUGGUGGGGUAGUGGCUUACCAAGGCUCUGACGGGUAGCCGGCCUGAGAGGGUGACCGGCCACAUUGGGACUGAGAUACGGCCCAGACUCCUACGGGAGGCAGCAGUGGGGAAUAUUGCACAAUGGGUGGAAGCCUGAUGCAGCAACGCCGUGUGCGGGAUGACGGCCUUCGGGUUGUAAACCGCUUUCGCUCAUGACGAAGCUUUGUGUGACGGUAGUGGGUAAAGAAGCACCGGCUAACUACGUG
rnacentral:rRNA from 1 species